rnacentral:rRNA from 1 species
AGUGAACGCUGGCGGCGUGCCUAAUACAUGCAAGUCGAACGAAGUGGCGGACGGGUGAGUAAUAUAUAGUUAAUCUGCCCUACACAGAGGAACAACAGAUGGAAACGACUGCUAAUACCUCAUAGUGUAGGAUGAGACUAUAUCGUAUCAGCUAGUUGGUAAGGUAAUGGCUUACCAAGGCUAGGACGCGUAACUGGUCUGAUAGGAUGAUCAGUCACAUUCGAAGUGAGGCACCAGCCGAACACCUACGAGAGGGGGCGGUAACGAAUAGCGGCCAAUGCGCGAGAGCCUGACGGGGCAUCGGGGCGUAGAGGAUGACACGUGUCGAAGCAUAAACUCCGUUUAACAGGAAAGCGGUACCUGAAGAAGAAGCACCGGCUAACUCCGUGCCAGCAGCCGCGGUAAUAC